UACGGAGGGUGCAAGCGUUGUCCGGAUUUAUUGGGUUUAAAGGGUGCGUAGGCGGUUUGGUAAGUCUUAUGUGAAAUCUACAGGCUCAACUUGUAGUCUGCAUGAGAAACUGCCGGGCUUGAGUGUGGGAGAGGUGAGUGGAAUUCCUGGUGUAGCGGUGAAAUGCGUAGAUAUCAGGAGGAACACCGGUGGCGAAGGCGGCCUGCUGGGCAGUAGCUGACGCUGAUGCGCGACAGCGUGGGGAGCAAACAGG
rnacentral:rRNA from 1 species